rnacentral:rRNA from 1 species
GACAGAGGAUGCAAGCGUUAUCCGGAAUGAUUGGGCGUAAAGCGUCUGUAGGUGGCUUUUUAAGUCCGCCGUCAAAUCCCAGGGCUCAACCCUGGACAGGCGGUGGAAACUACCAAGCUGGAGUACGGUAGGGGCAGAGGGAAUUUCCGGUGGAGCGGUGAAAUGCGUAGAGAUCCGGAAGAACACCGGUGGCGAAGGCGGUCUGCUGGGCAGUUGCUGACACUGAGGCGCGACAGCGUGGGGAGCAAACAGG